AGUCUGAAUAGGGCGUAUCCGAUCCGUAGGGGUUGGUGUAGUGGUGUGUUCUGGACCCGAGCGGAGUGAUCUACCCAUGGCCAGGGUGAAGCAGCAGUAAGAUGUUGUGGAGGCCCGAACCCACUUAGGUUGAAGACUGAGGGGAUGAGCUGUGGGUAGGGGUGAAAGGCCAAUCAAACUCCGUGAUAGCUGGUUCUCCCCGAAAUGCAUUUAGGUGCAGCGUCACGCGUUUCUUAUCGGAGGUAGAGCACUGGAUGAGCUAGGGGGCCCAAAAGCUUACUGAACCCAACCAAACUCCGAAUGCCGAUAAGUUAGAGCGUGGCAGUGAGACUGCGGGCGAUAAGGUUCGUAGUCGAGAGGGAAACAGCCCAGACCACCAACUAAGGCCCCCAAGCGUAUGCUAAGUGGGAAAGGAUGUGGAGUCGCAUAGACAACCAGGAGGUUGGCUUAGAAGCAGCCACCCUUUAAAGAGUGCGUAAUAGCUCACUGGUCAAGUGAUUCCGCGCCGACAAUGUAACGGGGCUCAAGCAUACCGCCGAAGUUGUGGCAUUCAUACCGAUAACCCGGCCGCAAGGUCCAGGUGUAUGGAUGGGUAGGGGAGCGUCGUGUGGCCAGCGAAGCGGCGGGGUAACCCAGCCGUGGAGGCCACACGAGUGAGAAUGCAGGCAUGAGUAGCGAAUGACGGGUGAGAAACCCGUCCGCCGGAUGAUCAAGGGUUCCAGGGCUAGGCUAAUCCGCCCUGGGUAAGUCGGGACCUAAGGCGAGGCCGACAGGCGUAGUCGAUGGACAACGGGUUGAUAUUCCCGUACCGGCGAAGAACCGACCAAACUAAUCCAGUAAUGCUAAGUAGCUGAAGCUGCUUACUGAUGCCUUCGGGCUGAGGUGGGCAGACGAGCCUACGACCCUAUGCUGGUGCGGUUAACGUAUUAACAGGUGUGACGCAGGAAGGUAGCCUCCGCGGGGCGAUGGUUGUCCCCGUUUAAGGAUGUAGGGCGAGAGAUAGGCAAAUCCGUCUCUCACAUAGCCUGAGAUCUGAUGAUGAGUCCUUAUGGACGAAGUGGGUGAUCCUGUGCUGCCAAGAAAAGCAUCGACGUGAGGUUCAAGCUGCCCGUACCCCAAACCGACUCAGGUAGUCAAGUAGAGAAUACUAAGGGGAUCGAGAGAAUCGUGGUUAAGGAACUCGGCAAAAUGCCCCCGUAACUUCGGGAGAAGGGGGACCCCCGUACCGUCAACACCCUUGCGGUGGGCAGCGGUGGGGGGUGGCACAAACCAGUGAGAAGCGACUGUUUACUAAAAACACAGGUCCGUGCGAAGUCUCAAGACGAUGUAUACGGACUGACGCCUGCCCGGUGCUGGAAGGUUAAGAGGACCCGUUAACCCCUCGGGGUGAAGCGGAGAAUUUAAGCCCCAGUAAACGGCGGUGGUAACUAUAACCAUCCUAAGGUAGCGAAAUUCCUUGUCGGGUAAGUUCCGACCUGCACGAAUGGCGUAACGACUUCUCAACUGUCUCAACCAUAGACUCGGCGAAAUUGCAUUACGAGUAAAGAUGCUCGUUACGCGCGGCAGGACGAAAAGACCCCGGGACCUUCACUACAACUUGGUAUUGGUGCUCGAUACGGUUUGUGUAGGAUAGGUGGGAGACUGUGAAGCGGCCACGCCAGUGGUUGUGGAGUCGUUGUUGAAAUACCACUCUGAUCGUAUUGGGCCUCUAACCUCGAACCGUAUAUCCGGUUCAGGGACAGUGCCUGGCGGGUAGUUUAACUGGGGCGGUUGCCUCCUAAACAGUAACGGAGGCGCCCAAAGGUUCCCUCAACCCGGG
rnacentral:rRNA from 1 species